AACGAACGCUGGCGGCAGGCUUAACACAUGCAAGUCGAACGCAUCCUUCGGGGUGAGUGGCAGACGGGUGAGUAACGCGUGGGAACGUGCCCUUCAGUUCGGGAUAACCCAGGGAAACUUGGGCUAAUACCGGAUACGUGCGAGAGCAGAAAGAUUUAUCGCUGAUGGAUCGGCCCGCGUCUGAUUAGCGAGUUGGUGGGGUAAUGGCCCACCAAGGCGACGAUCAGUAGCUGGUCUGAGAGGAUGAUCAGCCACAUUGGGACUGAGACGCGGCCCAAACUCCUGCGGGAGGCAGCAGUGGGGAAUAUUGGACAAUGGGCGCAAGCCUGAUCCAGCCAUGCCGCGUGAGUGAUGAAGGCCUUAGGGUCGUAAAGCUCUUUCGUCCGGGACGAUAAUGACGGUACCGGAAGAAGAAGCCCCGGCUAACUUCGUGCCAGCCGCCGCGGUAA
rnacentral:rRNA from 1 species